GAAACCCUGUAUUAGAAUCUGCAGCCAUUACUUCACUAAAGCAUUUAACUUUAUUCAAGUACUUCCAAGAAAACUCACUUAACUCCUGAAUCCACCCAGAGCUACUUAACAAAAGGAAAAACCAGCAGCUUCAAAAACCCAAAAUUUAUUUGGGGUUCAUCACUAUUCCAGGAGAUUAAAAGGGGUUGCAAUACACAAAACUAUACAGCACCAAGACAAUUCAACUAAACUCCUCACAAUCCACCAAGAGCUACACAACAACAGAAGAGAAAAAAAAAGAAGCUAAGCAGCACUACAAUCAGAGCUUCAGAAACCCAAACAAGAAAAAAC
rnacentral:misc_RNA from 1 species